GGGUUUUUCUUCACGUUGAACAAGUGAUCGGACUUUUUCUUGAUCGAGCGGUAAAAUGAGUAUUCUUUGGUGAAAACCAAGGAAAGAUCAUCAAAAAUUUUGAUGGAUCGUGGUGGCAAGCUGUGAAACCAAUCUUGCACCUCGCCUUGUAGAGUGGUGGUGAAUAUUUUACACAUAAAGGCAUCGUUGUUCAGGUAAAGGACCAUCACUCAUCAGUAGUGCUUCAAGUGCCUCUCUAGAUCUCUAUCUCCUUUGAAAUAUUUGAAGUGCGGCAUGCUAAACUUGGGUGAAGGCUCUGCCUGUUCGAUCUCGUCUGUGAAGGGUGAUCUACUUAUAUUGGUCAUGUCCCCCUAUAAUGCCUCAUCGGCCG
rnacentral:lncRNA from 1 species